UUCCUUGUUCUGCGACCGUGGCAGGAAUGAGAAGGAGAUUGAGUCAAACACAGAAGAGAUUUGAUGGAUAUCGCUGAUGAUUCCAUAAAUUUCCUUUUUCCUGCAUCCUGUUGUUGAUAGCUCUGAUGAGCGUUGAAGAGUCGAAGUAGACUUUGAGAUUGGGGAUCUUAAGAUUCACUGCCAUAUGGCUGAUCUGAUUACUAAGGCUUCAGCCAUCAAAGGGGAGGGGACGAAGUGCUGGAUCUCUGAUCCGUGGCUUGAUUUCGCACCGUUGCUUCCUCGGAAGAUUCAAGCUAGUCUGGCCAUCUUGGAAGUCGCAUCCCAAUAGGCGUCUGAAUUGCAUUUGAUCGUGUUGGUCUGAUCUUGGUCUCUGUGGGUUGUCCUCCUGUCCAAAAGCGGUUCUGGAAUAGGUGCUGUCUUUGUCGGUGUCGAACCCUUGUCUUCAAAGAGAAAUAUGUUCCUUGCUGUCCAUAUAGUCCGAAGAGUCCAGGGGAGGAUAAAAUUUGCCAUGCCAGUCGGUGGGAGGCAGACAGCAUAUCUGAACUUGACUAUCAUUGAUGUCAUUGUAUCAUCCAUCACUAUGGGAACUGCUUGUCGUAAAGUUUGCAGGUUCUCGCCCGUUGGGAGUGCUCUCUGGAUGAUGGACCAAAGGAAGACCUGAGGCUUAGGAGAUAACUUUCCGGACCAUAUGUCUUUUACCCAAUGGAAGUAUUGGCUCUCUGGUUGAUGAUUAUGGUGAUGUUUGAGUGCUGAGGCUAUAGCAUAUCCUGAUUUGAUGGAGUAGACUCUGAUUAUAGAGGUUGCCAAACGUAAAUGUCUUAUGCUCCCUUGGUGCUUGGCCUUAUGGUUUGGAUUUGUGCAGCCAAAGCAGGGGCCAAUUGGUUUCAGGUUCUUUUCCAGCGAGAUCCAGGAGUCCUGCCAUACCUUGGUUGUCAGCCCAUUACCGAUAGCCUUUCUCAUGCUAGAUUUCAAGAGCUCAAGGCCACGGAGUAUGCUGCGCCACCCAUGAGAGCACACUGCAGGAAUCUCGUUGUCCAGCUCGCUGCUCUCUGUCCGAUCCUGUCAACCACUGACGUGAAGAUAUCUUUUUUUCUUCUACCAAAGUGCUCAUGUAGGCUUAGAUAUUUACCUAAGCCUCCCUCUUUUCUGAUAUUCAGGAUUGACUUUGCAGUUUUUUUUCAUUUCUGCGGACGUUUUUUAUGAGAAUGUAAUGGCUGAUUUGUCUCGGUUUAUUUUCUGACCGGAUGCUCUCUCAUACUCCGAAAGUAUCUUGACUAGGUUGUUGCAGCAGUCAGGAGUAGAGUUGCAGAAGAACAUUGUGUCAUCUGUAAAAAGCAGAUGGUUCACAAGAGGGAAUUUUCUUACAACCCGGACUCCUUGAAACUCACCUGAGAGAGCUGCAUUUCUGCAAAGCCCUGGCAGUACUUCCCCACGUAGGAUGAAGAUGUCUUUGUCUCUUUCUCAUUAACGUUUUAAACUGAUUUUGAUCAGUUUUCUAUUUGGAUCGGACUGUUUUUUUUUAAAAUACCAAAUUGUCAAUGACCAAUCCA